GGGGAUUUAGCUCAGCGGCAUAAGCGCCUGCCUUGCAAGCAGGCAGUCGUGGAUUCGAUCCCCAGUACCAA
rfam:Cavia porcellus supercont2_44 genomic scaffold, whole genome shotgun sequence.